GGGGGAAAAAUUAAUAAUAAAUUAUAAAAAAAAAAUUUUUAAAAAUAUAUUUUAAUGGGGGUUAAAGUAUAUAUAUAGAAAAAAUUUUAAAAUUUAUAGUGAAAUAGUAUUAUAAAAGAAUUUGGAAAUAGGGGAAAAUAAUUUAUGAAAAAGUAAAUUUAAUUUUAUUGUAUCUUGGGUAUCAGAGUUUAUUAAUAAUAAUUAUAAAAUAAUAAUUUCUCGAAUUUAAAAGAGUUAAUUAAUUAUAAAAGUUAAUGUGGAAUAAUUAUUUUUAAUAAUUAAUUAGAAAUGAAAUGUUAAUCGUUUUUAAAAAUAUCUAGUUUUUUUAGAAAAAAAUUUAAUUUUAAAUAUUAUAUUUAAAAUUUUUAUUUAUGAAAAUUUUAUUGGUUAAUAUUAAAUAUUUUAAGGGAUAAGCUUUAAAAUAAAUUUUUAUAAUAAAUUGUUUAAUUAUGUUAAAAUUAUAAAAUUUAAAUUGUUUUAAAAAUUAUAAUUUUUUAUAAAUAAUUUAAUUUAAAUUAAAAUUUAAGAAAAAAUUUAAAUUUUUAUAAAAAAAUAUAUUUUAAUAGAAUAAAAUUAGAUAUAAUGAUAAAAUUAGUAUAUAAUUUUUUUUUAAAAAAAAAAAUAUUAAAAGUUAAUUAAAGGAAUUCGGCAAAAUUUUAUAUUCACUUGUUUAUCAAAAACAUGUCUUUUUGGGAAUAAUUUAAAGUCUAAUCUGCCCACUGAUAAAUUAUUAAAGGGCUGCAGUAUUUUGACUGUACAAAGGUAGCAUAAUCAAUAGUCUCUUAAUUGGUGACUUGUAUGAAAGAUUGGAUGAGAUAUAUACUGUCUCUAAUUAAUUUGUAGAAGUUAAUUUUUUAGUAAAAAAGCUAAAAUAAUUUUAAAAGACGAGAAGACCCUAUAGAGUUUAAUAAUUUAUUUAAUUAUUAAUAAUAUAUAAUUUUUAAAAUUAAAAUUAAAUAAAUUAUUUUGUUGGGGUGAUAGAAAAAUUAAAUUAACUUUUUUUAAUUAUUAACAUUAAUUUAUGAUUAAAUGAUCCAUUUAUAAUGAUUAAAAGAAAAAAUUACCUUAGGGAUAACAGCGUAAUUUUUUUUUUUAGUUCAAAUAGGAAAAAAAGUUUGCGACCUCGAUGUUGGAUUAAGAUAAAAUUUAAAUGCAAAAGUUUAAAAUUUUGAUCUGUUCGAUCAUUAAAAUCUUACAUGAUCUGAGUUCAAACCGGUGUAAGCCAGGUUGGUUUCUAUCUUUAAAUAAUUAUAAUAUUUUAGUACGAAAGGAUCAAAUAUUAAAAAUAAUUUUAAUUAAAUGAAUAUUAUUAAUAAUUAAU
rnacentral:rRNA from 1 species